UGGUGGAGUGAUUUGUCUGGUUAAUUCCGUUAACGAACGAGACCUCGACCUGCUAAAUAGUUUGGCGAACCCUUUGGGUUCGUACAUGACUUCUUAGAGGGACUAUCGGUGUGUAGCCGAUGGAAGUUCGAGGCAAUAACA
rnacentral:rRNA from 1 species